UGCCAGCCGCCGCGGUAAUACGGAGGGGGCUAGCGUUGUUCGGAAUCACUGGGCGUAAAGCGCGCGUAGGCGGUCCAUAUAGUCAGGCGUGAAAGCCCCGGGCUCAACCUGGGAACUGCGCUUGAUACUGAUGGGCUAGAGUCCGGGAGAGGGUAGUGGAAUUCCCAGUGUAGAGGUGAAAUUCGUAGAUAUUGGGAAGAACACCAGUGGCGAAGGCGGCUACCUGGACCGGUACUGACGCUGAGGUGCGAAAGCGUGGGGAGCAAACAGGAUUAGAUA
rnacentral:rRNA from 1 species